AAUAAGUGAUUAGAUCCUGUUUAUUUAAAAGCAGAAGGAAACGUAUCAGAAGUCCGUAGCGUGAAGUGCUCAAAUUCAACCAGUGCCAACCAGCAACCCCACCUGCAGUACCUCGACGACCACAAUAUCCUCCUCCACCUCCACCCAUCAGGGUCAACUCUCUCUCUUCAGAACCAUGAGAGUUUUCAUCUUCUUCCUUUUCGCAGCAGCAGCUGCAGCUGCAGAUUUGCGGCAGAAUGGGGACUUUGAAGUUUGAACUGCCCCCAAAGAAUGCAGCUCUGAAUGAAACCGUACCAGCACUGCUCUUGACACCAGCAAACCCCAUCAUUCCAGGCUGGAGCUUCAAUGGCCCGUCGAGUACAUCACUUCUACAGCCAACAUAUCUUUGCCCGGAGGCGGUCAGCAGUUGGGCCAAGAUGGCAGCAUCAGCCAAUCUUUCAAAUCAGAUGGCUCCUACGCCUAUGCAUUAACAUUCAGCCUGUCCCCUGGAAGUACUAACGAGAAUUGUUCCAGCAAUGUUGCAGUGAAUAUAUCCGCCUCAGAUAGCUCCGCACUGUUUUACCUGCAGCAGCAGUAUGGGAAGGAGAAGUGGGAAAGCCACGCUUGGUGCUGGAUCAAUUCACAACCUAAGGGAGGCUCUGUAAGGCUUAAGGAGCCAAGCUUUGGAGGUUGGAGACAAUGUCACAUGUGGACUUGCCAUAGACACACUCCUGCUCAAGGGUGCUCCACCUCCGAUACAGGAAGAACACAGCCUGCUGGUAAACUGGGAUUUUGAGUUGGGGCCCGAGCUUUUAGGCAACUCCACUGAGGGUAUAUUACUGGAUCCAAGUUCAGGAUCACCUGUACAAGGUUGGUCUGUCACAGGGAUAGUCAAAUAUAUUGA